CCUACGGGAGGCAGCAGUGGGGAAUAUUGGACAAUGGGGGGAACCCUGAUCCAGCGACGCCGCGUGAGUGAAGAAGUAUUUCGGUAUGUAAAGCUCUAUCAGCAGGGAAGAAAAUGAUGGUACCUGACUAAGAAGCCCUGGCUAACGACGGGCCAGCAGCCGCGGUACUACGUAGGGGGCAAGGGUUAUCCGGAUUUACUGGGUGUAAAGGGAGCGUAGACGGUGCAGCAAGUCUGAUGUGAAAGGUCGGGGCCCAACCCCGGGACUGCCUUGGAAACUGUUGAACUGGAGUACAGGAGAGGUAGGCGGAAUUCGUAGUGUAGCGGUGAAAUGCGUAGAUAUUAGGCGGAACACCAGUGGCGAAGGCAGCUUACUGAACUGUAACUGACGUUGAGGCUCGAAAGCGUGGGGAGCAAACAGGAUUAGAUACCCGGGUAGUC
rnacentral:rRNA from 1 species